rnacentral:lncRNA from 1 species
GAAAGAUCUCCCAUGCUCAUGGAUUGGCAGGAUUAAUUUAGUAAAAAUGGCCAUUUUACCAAAAGCAAUCUACAGAUUCAAUGCAAUCCCCAUCAAAAUACCAAUCAAAUUCUUCAAAGAGUUAGACAGAACAAUUUGCAAAUUCAUCUGGAAUAACAAAAAACCCAGUAUAGCUAAAGCUAUCCUCAACAAUAAAAGGACUUCAGGGGGAAUCACUAUCCCUGAACUCAAGCAGUAUUACAGAGCAAUAGUGAUAAAAACUGCAUGGUAUUGGUACAGAGACAGACAGAUAGACCAAUGGAAUAGAAUUGAAGACCCAGAAAUG